GGCGUGACCGUCAUGAGGAAGGCGCUCGCUCAUUGGUGUGCUGGGGCUUUUCCCGCGUGCUCCGGGAGCUGAAGGACGUUCCCGGGGAAGCCGCUGCUGGCGCGUGGGGGUCCCGGUGUCUUCGGAGGACACGCUGGGAUCUCCGGGAUCCCGCAGCCUGCGGCGCUGGCGGGGGCGGCCCUGCCGGAGGGAAACCAGAAACACUGAAGAGUCGAUCGAGUGUUUUGGCGUUAGGAUUGAUCGUCAAAGCCAGUCUGAGCCAACCCUAACAACGUGUGGUCUUUUUAUGGUAUUCACCGUUGAGAAUUUGCUUAGGUUGUUCCAAAAAUAAAGAUGUCCCAAAAGAA